GCAGGCGUGAUGGAAUUGGUAGACAUGCUAGACUUAGGAUCUAGUGCCGCAAGGUGUGAGAGUUCGAGUCUCUCCGCCUGUACAA
rnacentral:tRNA from 1 species